UACGUAGGGUGCAAGCGUUAAUCGGAAUUACUGGGCGUAAAGCGUGCGCAGGCGGUGAUGUAAGACAGAUGUGAAAUCCCCGGGCUCAACCUGGGAACUGCAUUUGUGACUGCAUCGCUAGAGUACGGCAGAGGGGGAUGGAAUUCCGCGUGUAGCAGUGAAAUGCGUAGAUAUGCGGAGGAACACCGAUGGCGAAGGCAAUCCCCUGGGCCUGUACUGACGCUCAUGCACGAAAGCGUGGGGAACAAACAGG
rnacentral:rRNA from 1 species